rnacentral:lncRNA from 1 species
ACACACUGGGGAUUUGACCUCUAUCUCCACUCUCAUUAAUAUGGGUGGCCUAUUUGCUCUUAUUAAAAGGAAAGGGGGAGAUGUUGGGAGCCACGCCCACAUUCGCCGUUACAAGAUGGCGCUGACAGCUGUGUUCUAAGUGGUAAACAAAUAAUCUGCGCAUGUGCCGAGGGUGGUUCUUCACUCCAUGUGCUCUGCCUUCCCCGUGACGUCAACUCGGCCGAUGGGCUGCAGCCAAUCAGGGAGUGACACGUCCGAGGCGAAGGAUAAUUCUCCUAAAAAAGGGACGGGGUUUCGUUUUCUCUCUCUCUUGCUUCUUACGCUCUUGCUUCUUGCACUCUGGCUCCUGAAGAUGUAAGCAAUAAAGCUUUGCCGCAGAAGAUUCUGGUCUGUGGUGUUCUUCCUGGCCGGUCGUGAGAACGCGUCUAAUAACAGCCCAACAACUCCAUUGUUCUUGACUUCUUCGGGCUCUAGCCAGACUCUCCAAAGACAGGGUUGCAUUCCCUUUCCAGUAUGGUCCAUGGAAAACAUGCAGAGGAAAUGGCCCCACAGCAUUGGCUGAGUGUUUAUGUCGUCCAACCGAGUCUCCAUCGAACUGUUGUGGUGUUGCUGACUUGCCCUAGGUCACCUGAGUUAAAAGGGUUGCAUUCCCUUUCCAGUAUGGUCCAUGGAAAACAUGCAGAGGAAAUGGCCCCACAGCAUUGGCUGAGUGUUUAUGUCUUCCAACCGAGUCUCCAUUGAACUGUUGUGGUGUUGCUGACUUGCCCUAGGUCACCUGAGUUAAAUGGGUUGCAUUCCCUUUCCAGUAUGGUCCAUGGAAAACAUGCAGAGGAAAUGGCCCCACAGCAUUGGCUGAGUGUUUAUGUCAUCCAACCGAGUCUCCAUCGAACUGUUGUGGUGUUGCUGACUUGCCCUAGGUCACUUGAGUUAAAUGAGAUGCAUUCCUUUUCCUUCAUGGGCCAUGAGUGACAUCCAGAGAAAGUGUCACCACAACACUGGACAAAAGUUGAUGAUAUCUGAAUGAGCUACCAGUAAACCCCCCCCUUUUUUUGCUGUUAUUGCCUUGCCUGAGGAAAAGCGAGUUAAAAGAUGAUACCUACAGUGAUGAGUUGGAGUUAUAGAUGGUGCCAUUUCUUCUACCAGCAGCUUCACCAAAACAAUCUCCAUUAUACAUGCUGAUGCCUCUUUCCUGUGUAGCAGCAGACACCACCUGCAGAUAAGAAAUGCUUAAGCAUAAGAAAUUCAUCAUACUCAUACCAAUCUACACAAGAGUGAGAUCAUGG